rnacentral:snRNA from 1 species
AUCAUUUUUUGGCCUUGUGGCUAGAAUUAAAUGUAGUAUGUGUUCUUAUCAGUUUAAUAUCUGGUACAUCCUCUGUCUGAGGACAAUAUUUUAAAUAGAUUUUGGAGAAGAGUUGGAAUAACAGCUUGCUCCUUCCAUUCCACACAUCAACCUGGUAUUGCACUAUUUUUAGGAUUUUUUCCCUCU